ACCACCCGGCCAAAUAGAACUGGCAGAAAGACAUUAGUACAAGAAGAAAAAGAUGGAAAAUCUUGCACUGGAGUCCGAAAUAAAAAGAGGACAAUUAGGAAACUGGACCUUGAAAUAAAAAACUUGAGAGGGAGCUCCAAGAAGAUGACACAGCUCAAAAUAAAAA